rnacentral:rRNA from 1 species
GCUCCAAUAGCGUAUAUUAAAGUUGUUGCAGUUAAAAAAGCUCGUAGUUGGACUUCAUGAAACGCAGAUGGGAUAACCAUUUGCUUUCUACCAGUCAUUGACUGUUACUGUGAGAAAAUUAGAGUGUUUCAAGCAGGCUAUUGCAGGAAUACAUUAGCAUGGAAUAACGAAUGUAUCUACAAUUUGGUUGAUUGUAGAAU